AAGAGAUAAAGCAUCACAAACACAAAGAUGUAUAGUGGUUCGGUGCACCCCAGCACCUACAUCCACUCUCCAAGACCUCUUGGGAAUUUCACUAUAAUCCCUUAGAUUACAGUCGGUUGUUUUACAAGCUCACAACCCAACUUGUUGUUUUGCGAGAUCACAACGAACUCGGUCGGUUUUCACAGGCUCACCGACUAGAACCAACCGAUUGUUUUCACGGGCUCACAAUCCAACCCAGUUGGUUUUCCCAAAGGCUCACCAACCACAACCUUACAAUGAUUGUUUUCUGGGUUCUCUCCUACAUUCUUAAAGACUUCCAUCAGAAUAUAUAUAGAGUGAAUGAUCUUAAAGCUAGAAAUAUUUCAGCUCACUCAAAUGAUUCUAAAGGAAAGAAAAUGUAAAUGCUUUUGAAAGAAACUGAGCUUUAAAUGAAUCAUUUUCUGAUUAAUAUUUCUAUACAUUUUCUCUAAGAUUAAGAGAAAGCAUAACUUGUUCUUGAAGGAUUAGAAAGAGUAAUUGCUACAAAUUUUGAAUAAUACUAGAUUACUCUACAUUCUCGAUAUCAUAGAAUUUCAGUUUUAUUCACGUUUAUCACUAAAAUCUGAAAUUCAACAAUAGAAAAGAAUGAUUAAAGAAGAAUGCAUCUUUUGAGGGGGAGCUUUAGAUUCAGUAUCUCAUACCUUGAUUUUUAUGGAUUGAUUUUGAUGAACCUCCUUAUAUUGCAAGACUUGCUUUAAUUAUAUAAUAAGUUUAUACCUUGAGAUGAGUUUUAUAAAGGUUGUCUUAUUUCAAACAUUGAGUCUUAUGAAAAUAAGCUGAAACUUAUAGAAAAUAUAUUUGUUUUGAGAUUGACAAUUUUAUUGAACAUUAUCUUCAAAUUCUAAACUCUUAAAUGGAAUN
rnacentral:lncRNA from 1 species